rnacentral:rRNA from 1 species
UACGGAGGGCGCAAGCGUUGCCCGGAAUCACUGGGUGUAAAGGGUGCGUAGGCGGGGCUGUAAGUCAGGGGUGAAAUCCUUCGGCUCAACCGGAGAAUUGCCCCUGAUACUGCAGCUCUUGAGUCCCGGAGAGGCCGCUGGAAUUCGUGGUGUAGCGGUGAAAUGCGUAGAUAUCACGAGGAACACCAGAGGCGAAGGCAGGCGGCUAGACGGGUACUGACGCUGAGGCACGAAAGCGUGGGGAGCAAACAGG